rnacentral:rRNA from 1 species
GACGAACGCUGGCGGCGUGCUUAACACAUGCAAGUCGAACGGAAAGGCCCUGCUUUUGUGGGGUGCUCGAGUGGCGAACGGGUGAGUAACACGUGAGUAACCUGCCCUUGACUUUGGGAUAACUUCAGGAAACUGGGGCUAAUACCGGAUAGGAGCUCCUGCUGCAUGGUGGGGGUUGGAAAGUUUCGGCGGUUGGGGAUGGACUCGCGGCUUAUCAGCUUGUUGGUGGGGUAGUGGCUUACCAAGGCUUUGACGGGUAGCCGGCCUGAGAGGGUGACCGGCCACAUUGGGACUGAGAUACGGCCCAGACUCCUACGGGAGGCAGCAGUGGGGAAUAUUGCACAAUGGGCGGAAGCUUGAUGCAGCAACGCCGCGUGCGGGAUGACGGCCUUCGGGUUGUAAACCGCUUUCGCCUGUGACGAAGCGUGAGUGACGGUAAUGGGUAAAGAAGCACCGGCUAACUACGUGCCAGCAGCCGCGGUGAUACGUAGGGUGCGAGCGUUGUCCGGAUUUAUUGGGCGUAAAGGGCUCGUAGGUGGUUGAUCGCGUCGGAAGUGUAAUCUUGGGGCUUAACCCUGAGCGUGCUUUCGAUACGGGUUGACUUGAGGAAGGUAGGGGAGAAUGGAAUUCCUGGUGGAGCGGUGGAAUGCGCAGAUAUCAGGAGGAACACCAGUGGCGAAGGCGGUUCUCUGGGCCUUUCCUGACGCUGAGGAGCGAAAGCGUGGGGAGCGAACAGGCUUAGAUACCCUGGUAGUCCACGCUGUAAACGGUGGGUACUAGGUGUGGGGUCCAUUCCACGGGUUCCGUGCCGUAGCUAACGCUUUAAGUACCCCGCCUGGGGAGUACGGCCGCAAGGCUAAAACUCAAAGGAAUUGACGGGGCCCCGCACAAGCGGCGGAGCAUGCGGAUUAAUUCGAUGCAACGCGUAGAACCUUACCUGGGUUUGACAUGGAUCGGGAGUGCUCAGAGAUGGGUGUGCCUCUUUUGGGGUCGGUUCACAGGUGGUGCAUGCCUGUCGUCAGCUCGUGUCGUGAGAUGUUGGGUUAAGUCCCGCAACGAGCGCAACCCUUGUUCACUGUUGCCAGCACGUUAUGGUGGGGACUCAGUGGAGACCGCCGGGGUCAACUCGGAGGAAGGUGGGGAUGACGUCAAGUCAUCAUGCCCCUUAUGUCCAGGGCUUCACGCAUGCUACAAUGGCUGGUACAGAGAGUGGCGAGCCUGUGAGGGUGAGCGAAUCUCGGAAAGCCGGUCUCAGUUCGGAUUGGGGUCUGCAACUCGACCUCAUGAAGUCGGAGUCGCUAGUAAUCGCAGAUCAGCAACGCUGCGGUGAAUACGUUCCCGGGGCU